rnacentral:rRNA from 1 species
ACUCAAAGGAAUUGACGGGGGCCCGCACAAGCGGUGGAGCAUGUGGUUUAAUUCGACGCAACGCGAAGAACCUUACCUGGGCUCGAAAUGUUAUGGACCGGGGUAGAAAUAUCCCUUCCCAGCAAUGGGCCGUAAUAUAGGUGCUGCAUGGCUGUCGUCAGCUCGUGUCGUGAGAUGUUGGGUUAAGUCCCGCAACGAGCGCAACCCUUAUCCCCAGUUGCCAUCAUUUAGUUGGGCACUCUGGUGAAACCGCCUCGGAUAACGGGGAGGAAGGUGGGGAUGACGUCAAGUCCUCAUGGCCUUUAUGUCCAGGGCUACACACGUGCUACAAUGGCCGGUACAAACCGUCGCAAACCCGUGAGGGGGAGCUAAUCGGAAAAAGCCGUCCUCAGUUCGGAUUGUAGUCUGCAACUCGACUACAUGAAGCUGGAAUCGCUAGUAAUCGCGGAUCAGAAUGCCGCGGUGAAUACGUUCCCGGGCCUUGUACACACCGCCCGU